UCUGACGGAGCACGCCGCGUGAACGAAGAAGGCCUUCGGGUCGUAAAGUUCUGUUGUUAGGGAAGAACAAGUACCAGAGUAACUGCUGGUACCUUGACGGUACCUAACCAGAAAGCCACGGCUAACUACGUGCCAGCAGCCGCGGUAAUACGUAGGUGGCAAGCGUUGUCCGGAAUUAUUGGGCGUAAAGCGCGCGCAGGUGGUUCCUUAAGUCUGAUGUGAAAGCCCACGGCUCAACCGUGGAGGGUCAUUGGAAACUGGGGAACUUGAGUGCAGAAGAGGAAAGUGGAAUUCCAAGUGUAGCGGUGAAAUGCGUAGAGAUUUGGAGGAACACCAGUGGCGAAGGCGACUUUCUGGUCUGUAACUGACACUGAGGCGCGAAAGCGUGGGGAGCAAACAGGAUUAGAUACCCUGGUAGUCCACGCCGUAAACGAUGAGUGCUAAGUGUUAGAGGGUUUCCGCCCUUUAGUGCUGCAGCUAACGCAUUAAGCACUCCGCCUGGGGAGUACGGCCGCAAGGCUGAAACUCAAG
rnacentral:rRNA from 1 species